GAUGAACGCUGGCGGCGUGCCUAAUACAUGCAAGUCGAGCGAGUGGAUUAAGAGCUUGCUCUUAUGAAGUUAGCGGCGGACGGGUGAGUAACACGUGGGUAACCUGCCCAUAAGACUGGGAUAACUCCGGGAAACCGGGGCUAAUACCGGAUAACAUUUUGAACCGCAUGGUUCGAAAUUGAAAGGCGGCUUCGGCUGUCACUUAUGGAUGGACGCGCGUCGCAUUAGCUAGUUGGUGAGGUAACGGCUCACCAAGGGAACGAUGCGUAGCCGACCUGAGAGGGUGAUCGGCCACACUGGGACUGAGACACGGCCCAGACUCCUACGGGAGGCAGCAGUAGGGAAUCUUCCGCAAUGGACGAAAGUCUGACGGAGCAACGCCGCGUGAGUGAUGAAGGCUUUCGGGUCGUAAAACUCUGUUGUUAGGGAAGAACAAGUGCUAGUUGAAUAAGCUGGCACCUUGACGGUACCUAACCAGGAAGCCACGGCUAACUACGUGCCAGCCGCCGCCGUAA
rnacentral:rRNA from 1 species